GGUGAUUUGAGGUUUCAGGAUAAUUUUAAAAUUUUUAAUUUAUUUUUGGAUGAAUUUUUAGAAUAUAGAAGGAUGAAAUUGUGAUACUAGAAGUGAUUUGAGGAUAAAAAAAAUAGUUUAUUAGGGUACGAGAAUUUUAGAAAAAGAAUUUGGGAAGUUAAAUGAGGCAUAAAUCUUAAAUUAGUAUUAAUAUGGAUUAUAGAUCUAAGACUUUCUAAUUCUUUAAAUUAGAGUUAUUUAUUUUAAUGUAAAAUUAAUAUAUAGUAUUGUGAAAUAAUUAUGUAGAUUAUAUUGACAAAGAUAGUGGUGAAAAAGGAGUUGUGAAGGGGAACUUGUUAUUCAAGACACAAGGAGCGAGUCCGGCCGAGAAAGCACCAGAGGUGUAACUAUGGUGUAUGAAACACCAUCUUUUACGUUGCCUCUUAUUUUGGAUUAUACAAUGUAUCUUGUGCCAACUUAGGACAUAUCUUCUUUGUGAAGCAUGUAAACUCUAAUCCUUUUUAUUAAAAGUAUUUAUUUGACCAA